GCCCGUGACAGCGUGUCUGGAAAUCCCAAUCUGCGCCUCCGCCUCCACCCCGCACCUGCGCCUAAAACCCUAGCUCGCCUCCCCCCUCCCCGCCCCCAUGGCGCCGAAGAAGCGGAAGGCGGAUCCGGCGGCGGCCGCCGGCGCCGACCCCGCCGCCCACCACGAGAAGCCCGAGCAGAAGCCCCGCGUCGGGACCAUCUACUACCCCAUCACCGACGACCCCCCGGAGCCGGCCGCGGACGCCGCCGCCGCCGCCGCCCUGGAGGAGGAGGACCUCGCCUACGACUACGAGGAGGAGGACGUCACCAAGCUGCUCGAGCCGCUCUCCCGGGAGCAGCUCGUGGCCCUGCUCCGCGCGGCCGCCGAGGCGAGCCCCGCCACCAUGGCGGCCGUGCGCCGCGCCGCCGAGUCCGACCCCGCCAGCAGGAAGCUCUUCGUGCACGGCCUCGGCUGGGGCGCCGGCGUCGAGGACCUCCGCUCCGCCUUCUCCCGCUUCGGCGAGCUCGAGGACUGCCGCGUCAUCACCGACAAGCAGUCCGGCAAGUCCAAGGGCUACGGCUUCGUGCUCUACCAGUCCCGCACCUCGGCGCUCCGCGCCCUCCGCCGCCCCCAGCUCGACAUCGGCGGCCGCCUCGCCUUCUGCCACCUCGCCGCCUCGGGCCCUGCACCCCCGGCCUCCCAGUCCCAUAACCCUAGCUCCAACGCCAACGCCAGCUCAGGCACCACCAACAACAACGCCCCCGCUUCCUCCUCCUCGCUGCCUGACAACAUGCAGCGCAAGAUCUUUGUUGGCAACGUGCACGCUGAUGUUGAUGUAAAUCGCCUCUAUGAGUACUUCUCGCAGUUUGGUGAGAUUGAAGAGGGGCCGCUGGGCUUUGACAAGAGCACCGGCAAGCCCAAGGGGUUUGCGCUGUUUGUUUACAAGUCUGUGGACAGUGCUCGCCGCGCCCUGGAGGAGCCUAUGAGGAAUUUUGAUGGCAAGAUGCUCAAUGUGCAGAAGGCCAUAGAUGGGAGGACAAAGGGCUCAUCCGGGUCCAACUCGAGUGCUAACAAUGCCAAUGCCACCGCUGCUUCUACACAAAUGACCAUGCCCUCUAUUGCCGCCAUUAAUCCAUAUGAUCCAUCAGCGUAUGGUGCCGCUGCUGUUCAUGACAUGGGGUUCGCCCAGCAAGCUGCCUUGCUGGGGAUGGGUGCACAGCAGCAAGCGUUUGCGCAGCCCAAUACUGCAAUGCUGGCCAUGAUGGCAGCCGCGAUGCAGAACCCAGCCAUGCUUGCAUCGCUAAAUCCAGCUUUUGCUGCUGCUGCAUUGGGCGCCGGGGGGCAAUCUGGCAUUCCUGGUUUUGGAGCUCAGGGCUUUGGGACACAAGGGUUUGGGGCUGCUGGCGUCAAUUUUCCAAAUGCAGCAGGUCUUCAGGGAGCUGCAGCAUAUCAAGGAGGGCCUCCUGGUUUUCAGGGGACACCUGGGUUCCCCACUUCUGCUGGGUUUCAGGUCGGCCAAGCAGCUUCCCAAACGGGCACAACUGCAGCCGCCACUGGUGCUGCUGGUGGUUAUCAGGCUGGGGCUGCUGGGCAGGGCCAAGUGUCCAAUACCCAGAUUGGUGGCACUGGUUUUCAGGGUGGCUAUUGACAGCACUAGUUUGGCAUCUGCUGGUCGUGGUUCGUUCGUAUGGUUUUGCAUUCGGAUGGAUUUUGAACCUGUGUUGGUGCCGAAGUAUUGCAGAAGGGCUGUUGACUUUUACUGUCAGAUGCUUUCGAAUCAGAUACCUUUGUGGCAGUAUUUGCAGAAGGAACUUUCUUGAAGUAUUUAUGUUGUUUCUAUUGCCAACUAUGUACUUUUCCAGUUGCAACUUCAUCAUGUACCUUAUAGUUCUGUAGUUGGUUUCAUGUACCGAAGUAUCUGUAUUUGGCUACUUGGGAUGUCGUCUGGUCUUAAUGAUAAUGUCGAAUGGUUUCUGGGCACUUGAUCUCAUUCUGGUUGCAGUUGCAGUGGGAUUUGGAGGAAUGGGAUAUCCAUAUCUUUUUGCAUCCAUCCUGGUAAUUUCUGGCUUGAGGUUGAGUUUGACAGCUGUGGACUUUUAAAUCUUCAAUUAUAGGGAGCUUUAUUCUCUUGGAAGUUGCUUCUUAAAGUGUCCACUGUUUUACUUUAGCCAUGAGACAUUGGUUUAAAGCGCGCCACAUUAUAUACAAUCUCAAAUUGGCGGUGUGCAUUUAAGGGUGGUGAUCAACUGAUCAUAAUAAUUCAUUAAAAGAAACUAGACCAAUAGGUGCUAGCUGCGGUGGCUUUAUAGUUAGGGCUCAUUCUGUUUGGAGGAAAUCAAAACGUAGGAAUUAGGAGUAGUAUAGGAAUAUGAUAGGAUGGCACUUGCCAUCCUAAGGAAUUGACUUGCCUCGUUCCUACGCGUAAAAUGAGCUUUGAGUGGAUGUGUAGUUUCCUCCAAAAACACGGGAAAUGAGUAGUAUUCCUACGAAAUUCCUGCACGCAUUUCCUACAAACCGAAUGCAUACAUAGGAAAUUUUCCUUUGGAAUCCUUAUUCCUAUGUUUUUCCUACGAAAAUCCUCCAAACCGAAUGAGGCCUUAAGGAGAGACAACCAUGAGGCCCACUGCAGAGCACAGGGCUUGGACACAGGUGUCAGGCUUGGUGCACGCCCGUGCACAACACCUAUAGCCAACUCGACGAUCAGUUGAGAAACUGAUCGUAAUUCAUAAGGAACAUUCUCUUCGAGGCAUGUUCUUUAAAAAGUAUCUUGAACUCAUGUUUGUUAAGUCAAAUUGCGCAACCAGUUGUGCCUGGGCUUUUCGUAAGUAGGUUCUUAAAUUGAUUAAUUAUUUGGUUAUAUGGUAUAUUCAUUUUUUUUGAAAUGAUUUGAUCUUCUUUUUCCCUCGCUGUUUUUGCUGGUGCUCUUGGUUUCAGCCAAGCAGUCCGUAAGUGUACUGGUAAACAAUGCCGUCUUAUG
rnacentral:rRNA from 1 species